UUAACCGAAUAGCCGCGGUUAUGAUUUCAUACGUAGUACCGCCCACCGCGGAACCAAAAUCUAAUUAAUUUUAAAUUACUUUCAUUAUCAGCUCCUAGCAAAGAAAGAUGCGUAGCUAAGAAGCAGUAGCAGUUUUCUGCAGGCAACUUUGUUGCAAACUAGUCUAGAAUAGUUAUUCUGCCAGGAUCUCUGAGUUUUGAACGGAGCAGGUAACCAGCCAAGGCCCCAGCGAAGGAUCAUUUCACAACAUUCGCCUCUAGCAAAGAAAGAUACAUAACUUGGAAACAAUGACAGUUUUCUUUAUUCAACUUUGUAGCAAAGUAGUCUACAGUAGUUACUGUGUCAGGAUCUCCUGGUUUCCAACGGAAAAGUCAACCAGCCAAGUCCAGAGCGAGGGAUCUCUUCAGAGUGUGGCAAAGAAAGAUGCACCGCUUAAUAACAGUAACAGUUCUCUUCAAGCUACCUUGUAGCUAGUUACUCUGUCAGGACCUCCAAUCUGAACAGUCAACCAGCCAAGGACAGAGCGAGAUUUUACUUCAGAGCUGUGAUGAAUGCUGGAAUUUUGUCUUGAAUCGGAGAUCGGAAGUUUGGGCCAACAGAGAUGGUGGGAGUCCAUAGUCAGGCCAGGAGUGGAACUGCUUACAGUCUGUGAAACUAUCGUCACUGCUAUCUGCCGUGGAACCACCACCAUCUUAUGGGUCUGAGAAGCUCUACUCACUGUGACUACUAUCCAGGAUACCUAGGAGUACCUCAUCCCCUGUGUACAGAGGCCUCUUAGUCAUUGUUGUACGAUAGAGUUAAUUGUAAUUGUAUUUAUUAUAAUGUAUGUUUGAUAUUGAAAUACAAAUUU